ACCAAAUAAAAAAAAAAAUCCUCUUUUCUGACUCCCCCCUCUUUAAGAACUUUUGGAUCUUGGCAUGGUAAGUUCAUAUCCAUUCUUUUUCUUCUUUUUUUUUAGUUUAUAUUUCUUUGCCUCUAUUUUCAUCUCCUUUUUCAAUUAUUGAGUAUUAGUGUUUUAAUAGUUAAUUUUUGCCUAUUAAUAUAGAUUCGAUGUAACUUGAUUGACUGGGAGGCUUGGAAAAGUCGAUGUGCUCUGCAAUUGUUCAUUCUCUUGAAAACCCAACAUUGUAAUCAACUUAGGUAUGUAAUCUUUUGUGUAUAUACAUCUUUUCUCCAUUUCUAAGUCUAUUGCCAAAUGAGUUAUUAUAGUGGUUUAAA
rnacentral:lncRNA from 1 species